AAAUGACUUAGAAGAGCGAGACCUGUUAAU
rnacentral:piRNA from 1 species